GUAAAGGUUUCGACAGGGGCUUUGAAGCUGGAGAAGCGAGCUGCACGGGAUGCAUAAAUUCCAAAUUUAAAAUUAAACGCUAACAAUAAUAAAUUAGCUUACGCUGCCUAAGAUUUGGCAGUAGUCCGCCCGGACGCACCUACACGACCGGAUACGGGCUUCAUCCAUGUAGGAAACGACAUCUGCAAAGCUUUGAGCAGUUGGGCGUAUUAUGAAGCUACUAAGACCAUUAGGGUGUCUGUUCCCGGAUGGUGGAGGGAAUGUUAAAUAACUGACUACGCUCGUAGAAGGACAGGGAAUGGGUCUUUGGACGCGGGUUCGAUUCCCGCCUGGUCCAU
rnacentral:tmRNA from 1 species